UUGAUUCUUGGAGUUAAUCUCUUGAGUCGUGAAGGUAACAGCCAGACAGGACAUAGGAUGU
rnacentral:rRNA from 1 species